GAUGAAGAACGUAGCGAAAUGCGAUAAGUAAUGUGAAUUGCAGAAUUCAGUGAAUCAUCUAAUCUUUGAACGCACAUUGCGCCCGCCAGUAUUCUGGCGGGCAUGCCUGUUCGAGCGUCAUUACAACCCUCAGGCCCCCGGGCCUGGCGUUGGGGAUCGGCGGAGCCCCCCGUGGGCACACGCCGUCCCCCAAAUGCAGUGGCGGUCCCGCCGCAGCUUCCAUCGCGUAGUAGCUAACACCUCGCGACUGGAGAGCGGCGCGGCCACGCCGUAAAACACCCAACUCUUCUGAAGUUGACCUCGAAUCAGGUAGGAAUACCCGCUGAACUUAAGCAUAUCAAUAAGCGGAGGA
rnacentral:misc_RNA from 1 species